GAUCGAACGGCUACGCGUACAGGCUUAACACAUGCAAGUCGAGGGGCGAGCGAUAGUUCUAGCAAUAGAGAUGAUGGCGACCGGCGCACGGGUGAGUAACACGUAUCCAACCUGCCUUAUACUCGGGGAUAGCCUUUCGAAAGAAAGAUUAAUACCCGAUGUUAUAGUCUAACCGCAUGAUUUGACUAUAAAAGAUUUUCGGUAUAAGAUGGGGAUGCGUUCCAUUAGAUUGUAGGCGGGGUAACGGCCCACCUAGUCUUCGAUGGAUAGGGGUUCUGAGAGGAAGGUCCCCCACAUUGGAACUGAGACACGGUCCAA
rnacentral:rRNA from 1 species